GCAGAUACAGAGCAACGUUAGCUUCCAUUUGAAGUCAUGUUCUGGCAUCUGAUAGAUUUGAGUUCUAUAUUUACGAAACAUAGUUUAGAAAUAUAUUGUUAAAAAACUCUUUAUUGCUCAGCUACAUUUACUAGCUAAUGGCUAAUUUUGUCUGUUAGCCAUUCGUUUCUGUGGAUAUUGGUCAACAGCGUGUCUUAGUUAGUUGAAUAAGUCAUCCUCACUCUCAGCCUCCUCUUCAGAGCUCGUCUCCUCCGGUCCGUGGACAGGUCCUGGAUGCUGGUGUGCGUCCUCCGUGGGAUGACAGGAGGACUGAUACUGCUCCAUGGCUUCAUACUCAUCAUCUGAGUGACCAGGAGGCUCAACGGAGAACUCGUUCACCUGACGGUUUAGGGAACAGCUGAGGGACGUGUGUGAGGAUGAACUCCACCACAAUGGACUGAACCCUGACCUCCAUGAAGGCUGCUGUACCGUUAAAACCUGACACCUCGAUGUCCUUUGACCUGAAUUUAAUGAAUAUUAGAGGGAAGAAUGGGAGAAAUUAAUCCCUCUUUUAGGAGAAUAAAUA